rnacentral:misc_RNA from 1 species
AAUAUUGAAUCCUAUAAUCCUAACCUAACUUAUUUUCCUAAUCAUACUCAUCUUAUAGAUUUAUAGUUGCAUUAAUUUGAUAAAGCAUUGGCAUACUCAAAAUUGGAUAAAAAACUUGAAUAUUUUAUUAAUAGCUAGCAGUGUUUAGUGAUUCAUUAUUUUUUAUGUGUCAAACAUAAAUUCUCUUGAUCCGAUUGAAAAUUUUAAAGUUUCUCCAUGACUUGUUCUAGAUAGUUUUGAACAAUUUUUGGAUAAGAAAACUAAACAUUUAUAAUGUCUAACGAGGAUAUCAAGAUAAAGUUCGUUCCAAAAAAGAGGCCAGUGAGGAAACGUCGUAACUCAGAUGACAGUGGUGAUGAAAGCAGCGAAGAAUCAAGUGUUAUGUCGAAAUUGGAAGAGAUGAAGAAUUUACAGAAGCUGAGAGGAAGACCGAAUGGUGUGAGUGUUGUCAGCCUUGCCCUUGGUCAGAAAGUUUCAGAGGUCGAAGAAUGUCUAGUGUCUGAUCCUUUCAAGGUGAAAUCAGGAGGUUUAAUUGACAUGCAUGCUCUUAAAAAUGGUCAAGUGCAGAAAGUUGAUGAUGCUUACGAUACCGGCAUUGGCACUCAGUUCUCAGCAGAAACCAAUAAGAGAGACGAAGAUGAAGAAAUGAUGAAAUACAUUGAAGAUCAGCUGUCGAAGAGGAAAGGAAAGCUGACGGAGGAGGGUGAGGAGGCGGAGGAGGGGAAAGGCAAGUACUGUUCGCCUGAGGAGGCCGCCCUGCAGGCAGUGCCCAAUCACCUCAGGGCCUCCUCCACGCAUCGAUCCGAGGAGAUGUUGUCCAAUCAGAUGCUCAGCGGUAUUCCUGAAGUCGAUCUCGGCAUAGAUGCAAAAAUACGAAACAUUGAGGCAACAGAGGAAGCAAAACUGAAACUUCUGUGGGAUCAGAGGUGCAAAAAAGAUGGACCGUCGCAGUUUGUUCCCACAAAUAUGGCCGUCAAUUUUGUACAACAUAAUCGAUUCAACAUAGAAGAAUCAGGUCCACCCAAGAAGCGAGACAAAGUGGAAGUUGAUAAGAAGAAAGUGACUGUUGAGAAACGCAACAGAGAGAACGGUGAAAAGGCAACAGAUGAUUACCAUUACGAAAAGUUCAAAAAACAGUUUCGUAGAUAUUAAUGCAAGCACACGGACAUUUUCCCACUAUUAUCGUCUUCAGAGUAGUUGGGAGUUGUGAGUCUAUUUUAUCAAUGUUGCUAAUUCUAUCUACAAUGACUAAUGUCGAUCAUUGGCGUUAAUUAUAGGUUCUUGUUUAUUUUGAAACCCAUUUUUCCAAAUGAAGGAUUAAGGCCAUUUUUUAAAACUCAGUUAAACAUCGUUGACUCAACGGUGCUUGUAAUUUUAUUAUCUAUUUGUAAAUAUAGUAUUUUAAUUUAUGGUUUUAUCACGUAUUAAAAUAAUUUAUCAUUCUA